rnacentral:rRNA from 1 species
GUGGGGAAUAUUGGGCAAUGGGGGCAACCCUGACCCAGCGACGCCACGUGAGGGAAGAAGGCCUUAGGGUCGUAAACCUCUGUUGUGUGGGAAGAAGGAAGUGACGGUACCACACGAGGAAGUCCCGGCUAACUACGUGCCAGCAGCCGCGGUAAUACGUAGGGGACGAGCGUUGUCCGGAAUUACUGGGCGUAAAGGGCGCGUAGGCGGUCAUUUAAGUCAGCUGUGAAAUGGUCCGGCUCAACCGGAUCAUGCGGUUGAAACUGGAUGACUGGAGUGCUGGAGAGGCAAGUGGAAUUCCCAGUGUAGCGGUGAAAUGCGUAGAUAUUGGGAAGAACACCGGUGGCGAAGGCGACUUGCUGGCCAGCAACUGACGCUGAGGCGCGAAAGCCAGGGGAGCAAACGGGAUUAGAUACCCGAGUAGUCC